GUAGUGGCUCAGUGGUUAGAGUUCUGGGCUACUGAUCCAAGCUAUGAGUUUAAAUCCCAUCCCAACA